rnacentral:rRNA from 1 species
GCCCAAGCGCUCUCACACAUUUAUCUCACCCCUAUGUGCACCACCGCGUGGGUCCCCCUUUUGGCUUGCCCAAAAGGGUGGGCUUGCGUUUUCACACAAACUUGAUGUAGUGUAGAAUGUCUUUAUUUUUGCGGUCACACGCAAUCAAUACAACUUUCAACAACGGAUCUCUUGGCUCUCGCAUCGAUGAAGAACGCAGCGAAAUGCGAUACGUAAUGUGAAUUGCAGAAUUCAGUGAAUCAUCGAAUCUUUGAACGCACCUUGCGCCCCUUGGCAUUCCGAGGGGCACACCCGUUUGAGUGUCGUGAAAUUCUCAAAAACCUUUCUUUGGUCUUUCGAUCGGGGAAAGGAUUUUGGACUUGGAGGCCUUUUGCUGGUUUCACCUUGAAGCGAGCUCCUCCUAAAUGAAUUAGUGGGGUCUGCCUUGCCGUUCCUCGACGUGAUAAGAUGUUUCUACGUCUUGGGUUUGGCACUGUCUUUUGGACACCUGCUUCCAACCGUCUCAUCGACAAUGAUGGCGUUCCGGUCACCACCGUUCUAUCGGUGGGAGGCUUG